GCCGGGCGCGGUGGCACGUGCCUGUAGUCCCAGCUACUCAGGAGGCUGAGGUGGGAGGAUCGUUUGAGCCCAGGAGUUCUAGGCUGUAGUGCACUAUGGUGAUCGGGUGUCCGCACUAAGUUUGGCAUCAAUAUGGUGACCUCCCAGGAGCAAGGGACCACCAGGUUGCCUAAGGAGGGGUGAAUCAGCCCGGGUCAGAAACGGAGCAGGUCAAAACUCCCGUGCUGAUCAGUAGUGGGAUCUCUCCUGUGAAUAGCUACUGUACUACAGCCGGGGCAACACAGCGAGGCCCUGUCUCU
rnacentral:SRP_RNA from 1 species